UGCCGCGUGCGUGGAAGAAGGCCUUCGGGUUGUAAACCGCUUUUGUCCGGGAAGAAACGGGUUUCUCUAAUACAGAUACCUAAUGACGGUACCUGAAGAAUAAGCACCGGCUAACUACGUGCCAGCAGCCGCGGUAAUACGUAGGGUGCAAGCGUUAAUCGGAAUUACUGGGCGUAAAGCGUGCGCAGGCGGUUAUGCAAGACAGAUGUGAAAUCCCCGGGCUCAACCUGGGAACUGCCUUUGUGACUGCAUAACUUGAGUACGGUAGAGGGGGAUGGAAUUCCGCGUGUAGCAGUGAAAUGCGUAGAUAUUCGGAGGAACACCGAUGGCGAAGGCAAUCCCCUGGACCGGUACUGACGCUGAUGCACGAAAGCGUGGGGAGCAAACAGGAUUAGAUACCCUGGUAGUCCACGCCCUAAACGAUGUCUGCUGGUUGUUGGGAGGGUUCCUUCUCACUAACCAACCUCACGCGUGAAGUUGACCGCCUGGGGAGUACAGCCGCACGGUUGAGACUCACAGGAGUUGACAGGGACCCGCACAAGCGGUGGAUGAUGUGGUUUAAUUCUAUGCACCGCGCAAAAACUUACCCACCCUUGACAUGUCACAUAGACCGCAGAGAU
rnacentral:rRNA from 1 species